AUCCAGCUGACGAGUACCAAAUAGCACGGGACACGCGUCCUGGAU
rfam:Schistosoma margrebowiei strain Zambia genome assembly, scaffold: SMRZ_scaffold0000937